rnacentral:rRNA from 1 species
UACAGAGGGGGCAAGCGUUGUUCGGAAUUACUGGGCGUAAAGGGCGCGUAGGCGGCCGCCUAAGUCAGACGUGAAAUCCCUCGGCUCAACCGGGGAACUGCGUCUGAUACUGGGUGGCUUGAAUCCGGGAGAGGGAUGCGGAAUUCCAGGUGUAGCGGUGAAAUGCGCAGAUAUCAGGAGGAACACCAAUUGCGAAGGCAGCUCGCUGGGACGUAACUGACGCUGAGACGCGAAAGCGUGGGGAGCAAACAGG